GUGAGCUUCCUCAUGAUGCUUUUGCUCACAUGAAUUGGUUGAAGAAAGUUCAUCUGGCACAGAAUGAGUUUACUGGCAAGAUCCCCAAGUCUCUUGCUAAGUUGCCAAGGCUUUUGGAGGUGCUGCUUGAGAACAACAAUUUUGAAGGAAAGAUACCCAAAUUUCCACAGAAUGAACUGCAAAUGGUGAACAUGUCAAACAAUGCAUUGGAGGGUCGUAUACCAGCUAGCCUAAGCAAGAUGGACAGGAGCUCAUUCAUUGGUAAGUUAUUUUCUUUGGCUUGAUGGUAUGCUGUCAUCUUUGUAUCUUCCAUUCACUUUCACAGACACCCCUAAACCUUUAUUUGAGUUUAUAGAUUUUGGUCUCAUUUUCAGCAUCAUCAUUGUUCAAUCAGUACAAUUUCAGCUCAGAAUCCAGAUUUUAACAAAAAUGCUAAGAUCCUAGAGUUUAUUGUAAGUCAGUGUAGUGAAUUCAAAGAGCAGAUGCAUAGAUUAAUUCAGUUCUAUAAUUCACUCUUGAAGCUGGGAAAAAUCUCACCAAAUUAGGACUGGGAUUAGGUCUAGAUAAGACUGAAAAUUGUUUCCGGGGUUUAGCGAAUUUACAGAGAAAUGCCUCCGGUAAACAUGUAAGCAUAGUAGGGUCAUCUUCUUGAUUGGGCUAUUAGUUCGGACAGCAGGUUGGGCAGCAAGGAAUUUUAGGGAAACAUGGAAUGACCAAGAAUAAAAAAAUGUAAUAAGCUUUAAGAAAUGAAAUAGAAAAACUAAAUCAAUGGGUGGAUUUGGUCAAUGGUAUCUGGUUUUUAAGAAUAUUUGUAUGUGGUUUGCACGAUCACCUGCUGGACAUUGACUUGAAACAUCAAAGAACUGGUAGCCUAUGGUCUUCUCUUUGUUCAGCUCUUUCCUAUAUUUAUAUCUCAUCUACCCAAUUGUUUGCUGCCCAGGAUGUUGUCAUUGGUUUUGACCUUUCGUUUUCAGUACUAAGGCUGAUAACCUUUGCACUCUACUGUAAAGUCUACCAGUUAGUCUUCAUUUUUAGGCCAAAACUCAGGCCUUGAUGUAUAUCUUUUGGAUGAGCAGGCAACGAAGAUCUAUGUGGUCUGCCUCUGGAGCCAUGCAAGGAAUCUAAGAAGCCGAGUAUCCUCAUCAUUGCCCUAGUUGUUGGUGGGGUGGUGGUACUGGCGGCCAUAAUAGCAGCUGUCUUCUUAAUCUGCAGGCAAAAGGGCAAAGCAUCCAAAUUGGGGCAGCCCUCAUCAGCAAAAGCCCAUAAGGAGGCUGCUGUCUAUGAGGCCGAACACAAGGAAGUUGGAUCCACUGGGGUUUACAAGAAGGGUGAACAAGGACAGUUAUACUUUGUAAGGAAUGAUAGGGAGAGGUUUGAGCUGCAAGACCUGCUUAGAGCUUCUGCUGAGGUUCUGGGCAGUGGGAGCUUUGGGUCUUCUUACAAGGCUGUUCUUCUCAGUGGACCAGCCAUGGUUGUAAAGAGGUUUAAGCAAAUGAACAGAUUGGGAAGCGGCGAUUUCCAUGAGCACAUGAGAAGGCUAGGAAGGUUGUCACACCCCAACUUGCUUUCUCUUGUGGCCUUCUAUUAUAAAAAGGAAGAAAAGCUUCUGGUUUCUGAUUUUGUGCCUAAUGGCAGCUUGGCUAGUCAUCUUCAUAGUAAGCUUUUGGUUCCAGUAUAAUGUCUUACAGUUCACCCCCAAACUCAAUCCCAAUUCACAUAUCCAUCAUGUCUUUUUCAGGUAAACGCGCUCCUGGCCAGCCAGGGCUCGACUGGCCAAUUCGCUUGAAGAUCAUACAAAAAGUGGCCCACGCCUUAGCUUACCUCUACAAAGAGCUUUCUGACUUGACUCUACCUCAUGGUCACCUAAAGUCUUCCAAUGUGCUUCUAGACGACAAAUUUGAGCCAGUACUAUCAGACUAUGCACUUGUGCCUGCAAUCAACAGAGAGCAUGCUCAGCAGAUCAUGGUGGCGUAUAAAUCGCCAGAGUUUAUGCAGUAUGAUCGAACAACGAGGAAGACAGAUGUAUGGAGCCUUGGGAUACUAAUACUGGAGAUGCUGACAGGUAAGUUCCCGGCAAAUUAUCUGAAACAAGGUAAGGGUGCUAAUUCUGAUUUGCUCAGCUGGGUGAACUCUGUUGUAAGAGAGGAGUGGACUGGUGAGGUGUUUGAUAAAGAUAUGAAGGGCACAAGGAAUGGGGAAGGUGAGAUGCUUAAGCUGUUGAAGAUUGGAAUGAGUUGCUGUGAAUGGAAUAUGGAGAAGAGGUGGGAUUUGAAGGAGGCUGUUAAGAGGAUUGAAGAGUUGAAGGAGAGGGAUUCAGAUGAAGACAACUCUUCAUAUGCUAGUGAAGGAGACAUUUACUCUUCUAGAGCUAUGACUGAUGAUGACUUCUCUUUCUCAGUUAACAAUUGAGUUGAGUUCUUUAACUUUGAAGAAUUUCAAUCUGGAAAUCAAUGUUAAAUUGGUUCUACUUGGUGGGUUCUUGUGGCCCGUUAAAAGUGGGAAAACCUUGUUGAUGCUUUGGUGAUACUUGUUCGUGCAUAGUUCUAUUAAUUGUUAGGGAGAGAGAUAAGACAACAUCAAACUGGCUAAAUAUUUUCUAUGGUAUUUUCUUUCUUUCCUUUGCAUUGUUCAUUAAUCUUUCCAAUGUCUCUCCAUUUUCAUAUAUGUACCAAGGAAAAAAAACAAGAGAUUGAUGAAUCUUCUCUGUCUCUGCUAUGGGCUGCCCCAAGAUUGUUGGAGUUGCAUCAAUGUUGCUUUGCUUAAAUAGUGACUCUGAAAUAUAGGUCCAAGUUAGUUGUGAUAUCCAAUGAUAUAAACGGUUUGAUGGCUUAUUAUCAAGUUAGUUGAUUGUUUUGCUGUCAAUUGACCUAUGAUUUUUUAGGUCUAUAGAUUUUUCUAUGUUUUUUCUUAUUAUCUCUUAUUGAUUGAAUUGAUAAUUCAAAGAACCUUGAUAGAAAAUUUAAAAAUUGGUGUAUAAUUUAUUUGGAUUACCUAGGUCUUUUUUUGGUAAUUGUUUUAAAAAAUAAUUCUCAAGAAUAAAAUUUUGAGAAUAAUUUUUGAAAAUUGUUUUUUAAUAUUUUGUAAAGCAAAUAUUGUUUGGGAAUCUGAAAUAUUUUUAACGUGUUUUAUUUGUUUUUAACUAUGUUUUAAAAACAACGUUUAUAUGUAAUGUUUUAUUUUCAAUUACUUUUCAUAUUUAUAUAAUUAUUUUCUUAAAACAAUUCUUAGAAAAUAAGAGAAAAUGAACUAAAAUUAUUUUCGAAAACAAUUAUAAAACAAAGCCGUAUUCACCCCUUUCUAAUUUGUCUAGUAAUAAAAAGAAAAAAGAACUUAUAAAUUACAAUAUCUUUUCUCAAUCGAUCUUGAUUUUGAUUUUGAUUUGAAGUGGCUUUCAAUAAGUCAGAAGUUGCUUAGAUAAUUUUAUGAUUUAAAAUAAAAACAAAGUUAAUCCGAAACUUCGAAUACUAUAUUUUGUUAAAACUUUUUACAGUACUGGUUUUUUUCUUUAGAAAAUAACGACUCAUGGGUCUUCUAUAAGCUAUACUUAUUCAAUUGAAUUGCCAAAAUCUAUAUACAGACAUUCAAAAUUCUGUGAAGAUAGCCAAAAAGUUUGGAAAAAGAGAAGAUUUCAGGACAUGCACAGCAGUGAUACAGUACUGUGAGGUUAACAUCACCAAUGUCUACAUCUUAGCCAUAACAUACGUUAGCAACAAUGACUCAUCCCUUAUCAUCAUAUUCACCUACACUUCAUGUGGGUGGAUAUUCCUCUCCUCACUAAAUUUAUUCUCCUUGCGCCCUUUUUCCUUUUCGCAAAUCUCUCAAAACAAAGGGUUGAUCCAUGAAAGAAGGAUAAUCAACAACUGUAAGGUACUUUUUGUUCUUCAUAUAUACCAUUUUUCUGGCCCAGAAAUGAUGGGCUGUACAAUAUUCUUGUGUACUUUUCUUGAGAGCUGGAGCUUCUCUGUUCUGAAAGGGUUAGUGUGGUGUAUAUAUUGUGUAAAAUUUUGAAGUUAUACUCAUCUUCUCUGCAAUGCUAGAGGUCUGAUAACUGGCUCAGAUCAAGCCAAGUCUGCAUUGGGGCACCCCCAAAUGGUGGGUCCAGUAUGAUUUGGCAAAAUCUGAACUGGGUAAUCACCCAAACCCCCAACUUGAUUGAAGGGCUUGGUUGUCUUCUGUUUGCAUUAUGUUUGGAGCAUAUUGUAAAUUGGUUUCUGUACAAUUGUGUUGAGGCAUCCCCUGAAAAGAAACCAGCUUAUACCAUCAUUCAUAUUAUGUGUAGAAAUCAUGAGGUUGUGUUCAAGAAAUGACAUCUUCUUGGUCGUGGGUGAGUUUGAUAAAUUGAGUUUAGUUAAAUGACAAAUCCAAAAAUGGUUCUUAAUUGUUGGGGUGCAACUUUUAAUCUCGGGUAUGGGUCGAACUCCAAUUGGUUUUCAGAUGAGAUGAUCAAAACCUGAUCCAAGAUAUUGUGCUAGGUGUGGGCGUGAAACAUGUUGCACUCAAGAUUCAUGAUUUUUCCCGGAAUCUGAUUCCUUCUAAUCUAUUCCCCUCCUUGGCAUAUUACCUGAUGGGCUGCAGGAUGGAUGCAGAUAGGAACCAUUUCUUGUAGGAGUAUUACUUUAACAUGCCCAAAGGGAAGAAAAGGAACCAUCUAUGUCAAAAGUAUUGGCACCUUUCACCACCUCCAAUCAACUUGUACAUGGCCACCUUGUUGCUAGGAAUCCUUAUUGCCCUUGUUCACACAAGGGCUACUUCAAUUCCCCUCUUUUGAUUAUUCUUCUACAGGUGCCUUUCUCCUAAAUUAAAGAGGAUUGUUAGAAAAAGUUCAGGGCAUCUUAAGAUUAAAAGAGCAAGCACCUUGCUUUUAUUAACCAAGUAGAGGAGGGUGAUUUUAAUUUUUUUUCUUUCCAAUUCUCGAUUACCCGUUAAUACCACACCCGUUCUUGGCUUUCAAUCUUGCAUUUGAAGCCUAAAAAUUCAAAACUGCAGAUUAAGUAAUUAAGUAGAUGGGAUCCUAAAAAUGUUAAAGCCCACACCAACUAACGUAUAUAGUUGUACGAACUCCAACUCCAGAAGUUUGAGACAUACUGUUCCGGAAUUCAAGAUUCUCUGGUGUCAGAAUCUUAACUUUCUGCAAUUCCAUUUUCAUUGAAUUCAAUUGGGGAGAAUAUGUAAAAGAAUAUUGCUAGCUUCAAUUUGUAUAUUGGAAAAAGGACUGAAAUUCCCUUGUGGAAUCAUGAAUGCCCUGCCUCCAAUACCUUUAAAAAGCAGCAGCAGAUAACAGCAAAAAACCAAGAUUGAAGUUACUUGUACGGUUACGGAAACUCUUUUUUUGACAUUUACUAUUUUGUAGAUAAGAGGAAAAGAGUGGGUGGCAGUUCUUGCUUCAAGCUCUAAUGGCAGGGCCUGAUCUUGGAGUGGAAAGUGUAGACAGCAACGACAUCAUAACAGUAUUAGCAUCAGAAGGGAUUGAGUUCCUUUUAUCUGGUGAAGGAAAGGUAGCCAUGUAACUCUGAAUUCUUUGUCUAUUCUCUCAGCCCUGUUGUUUGUUGUGACUUCUACUAGAAUUCCAAAUUUAAGCUCUUAUUACCUAUUACAUGCUUUGGAAUGAACCAUUAUUUGGGGUAUUUUCUGAAUCAAUCUGUUUGGUUGCUGAGAAGAUGGAUAAAAGAAAUAGAAGGAUCUUUUCAGGAACCCAAUAGAGCCAUGAUGUGAAAUUUGCUUGUAUAUAUAUAUAUAUGAAAUUGAAGCAAAAUAACUCAUGUUUUGAUCCUGUUAUAGGUCUCUUUAUCAUCAACUGAAGGGAAGAUGAUUUGCCUCUUCUUCUCAGCCAACUGGUGCAGGCCUUGUAGAACUUUUACACCACAGCUGGUCCAAAUCUAUAAUUCAUUAAUAAAGACUGGUAGAAUGAUAGAGAUUAUAUUCAUAUCCUUUGACCGAGAUGAGACUGGAUUUGGGGAGCACUUUAAGUCCAUGCCAUGGCUUGCAGUUCCGUUCAAUGUAGAUUUGCAUAGGCGAUUGAGUGACCACUACCAUGUUGAUCACAUCCCAUCAUUUAUACCAUUGGGCUUGGAUGGAAAAUCAAUUGAAGAAGAUGCAAUUGGGUUGAUUGAAGACUAUGGUGCAAGUGCAUUUCCCUUCACAAGCCAGAGAAGGGAGGAAUUGAAGGCUAUGGAUAAUGCUAAGCGUCAGGGAGGAAAACUAGAAGAACUUUUGGCAAAUGAAGGACGAAACCAUGUGAUUUCUAGCAGUGGUAGAGAGGUAUUAACUUGUUUCUACCUGUUUUUGUCCUUCAAUUUUUGCAUAUUAGGGUGUAACAUUCACAGACUUGAGCUUUUGCAGAUAUUAGUAUCUGAACUUGUUGGGAAGACAAUAGGCCUCUACUUUGCUGCGCAUUGGUGCCCUCCUUGCCGCGCCUUCACUGCACAACUUAUAGAAGCUUACAACAAGCUGGUGGCCACUCGAAAUCAGUGCUUUGAAAUAAUAUUUGUCUCAACAGAUCGAGACCACCAAGAAUUUGAUCUCAGCUUAAGUAACAUGCCAUGGCUAGCCAUCCCAUACGAGGACAAGGCGCGACAAGACCUUUGCAGGAUCUUUGACAUCAAAGGGAUUCCAGCUUUGGUCCUACUAGGCUCUGAUGGGAAGACAAUUAGCACAAAUGGGAGGGCCAUUAUUUCCUCCUAUGGUGCCAUGGCCUUUCCAUUUACCGAGUCAAGGACUACUGAGAUUGAAGCAGCCUUGAAAGAGGAAGGAGACGCGCUGCCUCGCCAGGUAAAGGACCUGAAACAUGAACAUAUACUUAAGCUGGACAUGGCCAAAGCAUAUGUAUGUGACUCCUGCAAGAAGCUAGGGAGGUUCUGGGCAUUCUCUUGUGAUGUAUGUGACUAUGAUCUUCAUCCAACAUGUGUAGAAGAAAAACAAGAAACUUAUUUGGAAGAUCCAGUCAUGGGGCUUGUAUGAAUUUCAAUCUUUCAAGAGAUCAUGUCCUAGUUUGAAAUCAUAAUCAUUUGAAACUCUUGUUUGCAGUGUACCCCCAAUUACAUAUUAUAUAAUAAUCUCAUUUUAUAUCUACUGCUACUUUGCCUCAAAAUCUUGUAUCAUCACUGUACUACAAUCUUGGCCUCUGCAGAAGUUCUUCUGACAUAUGGUCUAUAUACAAAGAUUAUACCUUUGCUUUUGGGUUUAAUAGUUUCUGCAUUCAGAAAUUAAGAUUGUUUAUUUGGUAAACCAACUUAAUGACUUAAUUUGAUAAGUAUUAAGUCAAAAUCUUAAAUAUUUUUUAUCACAUUUGCACACACUAAUCAAAAUAUUAAUCAAUAUGUAUGACUUAUUUUUUUGUUAUAAAUAUUUUAUAGUUAUCUUAUGUAUCUACAAUAUUUGAGAUAUGGAUAUUUAACAAACAAAUUUAUUAUUUAAGAUUAAUAAAAAUAAAUAUUAAUCAAAAUCAAUAAGGGCAAAUAUGUUAAUUUGAUGACUUAAAAUAAAUUUUAAGUUAACUCAAAGUAAAAAUUGAGUAAUAAGUUUUUUAUCAACAACUAAAGGGUGUUAGGUAAAUCAACUUAAUGACUUAAUAACUUAAUUUAAAUCAUUAAGUAAAUUAAACAUGUUUGAUAAAACAACUUAAUAUUAUAAUUUAAAGUUAUUUUUAACUUUAAGUAUUAAGGUAAGAUAGUUAAUUUAUCCUUAAUCUCAAAUUAUUUUUUCCUCAUUUGCUCAUACUAAUUUUUACUUAAUACUUAUUACUCAAUCUUAAAUCAAUAACUUAAAAAUAAUUUAACUUAAAAUUAAUUUAAACUAUUAAAUCACGUAAUAUAACUUUAAGUUAUGAUAUUAAAUUAUUUAUCAUCAUUUUAAAAAUUUUAAUCAAAUAAAAAUUGGCUUCCUACAUCGUGUUUAAGGAAGAGUGAAAGUCUUGAUGUAAGUUUUAUUACUGACACUAUAUAUGUAAUCAUAUAAACACUUUUAAAUUUGUGAGGAAUUGAGGGUUCAUAAAACUCAAAAUCAUUUCAUGCAGCUUCCAUAAAUAAUAAUUUUCUCCUCUCUCUAAACUCUUUCUAUGCCAUGUUAGGGAAAGAUUUUGGAAAAUUAGAUUGGGGUGUUGGAGGAUGCUAAAAUGAAGAAUUUGCCUCACUGAUCCUAUCAUUCAAAAACUUUGUUAUUAUGAUAAGGGUAAUGCUAUAUUUUUCUAAUGAAACUAUGAGAUUGACAGAAGGAUCUUCAUUUGGGUUGUUACAACAAAUAAGUCAAUGGUCCACCAAAGCACCCGAAAAUGAUGGGAGCUCUCUCUCAGAGGCCACACCACAACGGAGGGGGGAGAGAAAGGGAGAGAAAGUCGUGUAUUCUCUACUUUGAAGGAAUCAAAAUAGCUAAUUUAGGGAGAGAUGGGUAUGGUGUGGGGUGGUUCUUUUUUCUUUGUUAGACAAAAAACACAGAAACUGAAGAACAAAAAGAAAGAAAGAAAAUAAAAUAGAAAAAGAAAUGUGGGUGGCUUCUUUGUCUCUUUGGGAGACGAGGAAAUGAGAAAAGAAACUGGGGCAUGUGUAUUUUGUUGAGAUUCCAGAGAGAGAAAAGGUGGCAUUUGUUGGCAGUUGAUGAUUCAGAGAGUUGGUGAAUUCUGGGUUGUGCUUGUUUUCUUGAAAGGAAGAGAGUUGAAAGAGAGAGAGUCCAAGAGAAAUGUGGCUGGGUAGAGGAAAUACAGAAAAGAAGGAAGGAGGAAAUCCUUUGGUAGCAGUGGCAAUAGACAAGGACAAAGGGAGCCAAUCGGCUCUCAAAUGGGCUAUUGAUAAUAUCCUCAACAGAGGCCAGACUGUUGUUCUCAUCCAUGUCAAACUCAAACAAAGUCAUAGUCAUUCUUAUCCAAGUAUCUCUUUCUCUCCUUCAUUCAUAAAUUCAUCUCUAACCGUGUCUAACCACUAGGUAUAUUAUGAUCAUGUAAUAUCUUUGGGGUUAGGAUCAGGGUUAGAAUUCUGGUGUUUCUUAAUGCUCUGAAUUCUUACUCUAAGAAAUCUGGCAGUAGUCAUUCAGGCAUGUUUUACCCAUUUUUGUUCAUGGAGUGGCUUCUUCUUUCAAAAAAAAUGUAUUGCCCAUGACCACAUUUUUUGGGGUUCAAUGCUUAUCCUAUCUUACAAACAUCAUGUCACACAGCUUAAACCCAUAUGCAGAACUGCUAAUUGAAGCAACUCAGGGCUUGUGGGGAACUUUCCCAUUUUCAUAUCCAGUCCUCAAAUCAUUUUCAGCACAAGCCUUGUAACUUUUUCCUAAGAUUUGAUUUCUUCUCACUAAUGUUAUCCAUCUCCUUUCUAGUUUACUAGCUUACAUUCACAGCCAGGUCUUGUAUUAGCUUGUCAAACAACUGACUUCCAUUCUGCUUUUGCCCUGCAGCCGGUGAUGAGGUGGCCAAACUUGAUCACUAUACCAAGGAGUUGUUCCUUCCAUUUCGGUGUUUUUGCACCAGAAAAGAUGUAAGCUUUGGUAACCCAAACUUCUAAUUCUUAUAAAAAAAAUGUAUUGAACCAACUGCUACUAUGCUGAGGAAACAUAAAUCUUAUACUAAGCAUUGGAUAUGUGUUCAUCUGCUAACAUGCUUUCUGUUUUUCAAUGUGAAAAAUCCGACAUCAGAUACAAUGCAAAGAUGUGAUACUAGAAGAUACUGAUGUAGUGAAAGCAUUGAUUGAAUAUGUUUCUCAUUCAGCAAUUGAGGUUUUGGUUGUUGGUGCCCCUGCAAAAGGUGGCUUUCUCAGGUGUGUGUGUCCUUCAGUCACCUGUAUUUGCCUUAAAAUGAUUUCCAAAUGUGUUAUCACAUUGCAUUAGUCUUGAAAUUUCUUAACCUCAGAAACCUUCAUCUACAGAAGAUUCAAGGCAAUUGACAUCCCUGGAAGUAUAACAAAAGGGGCACCAGAUUUUUGUACUGUAUAUGUCAUAUCCAAAGGGAAGAUUUCAUCCACACGAUCUGCCUCCCGUGCAGCCCCAGCCAUAUCCCCUCUGCGUAACCAAAUUAUGAACCAAGGGAGCAUCAGACCGGAUCCAUCAGAUUUGCCUAUUCCCCAUGCUCCUAGUUCAAGAGGUUGGUUUACCUGAAGUAUCUGUUUCUUUUUUGAACUCUUAUGGAAAUGAGCAAUAAGUGAUGAUCCUAUAUCAGCAGUUGAAAAGCCACCUGUGGAACCACCACGCAGCUCACAUGAUGAUUUCGAACACAUCAAGUAAGUCACACUAUACAUUUAGAGGAAAAUGAAUGGGGAAGACUUCAAUUUAGAAACAGAUUUUGGGAGAAUGCUUUAUGGACUUUCUGAAAUGACCAACUUAAAAUCUUUGUGGGGGCAGGUCACCAUUCACUAGAGGAGCAAGAGGCCCAAAUGGCAGAUCAUAUGGGGAAAUUUCAUUACCGGAUUCGGAUAUAUCCUUUGUCAGCUCUGGUAGGCCAAGCACUGACCGCAUGUUUCCUCCAUUUUAUGACAGCAACAUUGACAUAAUCAGGAGCAACCCACGGCUCUCAAACAGUUCUGACAUGGAUAACCAAACCUUUGAGUCAUCACAAAUGGGAAGAAAAUCAAUGGAAAUUGGUUCUCCACCUGAAUUCUUAGCAAUUUCCCAGGAAAAUGAUAGGACGUCAUGGUCAUCGCAGUCGGCGGUAAGGACAUGGAAUCAUUUAACUAGGCAAAUAAUCCAAGAAGCAUAUUUUAUCCAUCCAUGGAAGAUGUUUAUGUUCAUCACAUACUAUCUUGUUUGGUUGAUGAAUAGACUUUUUAUUUACUUUAAUGAAUUGAUCGCUAAAUUCCAUUACAAUUGAGAAGAUUUUUCUAUGGGGAUUUAUCAACUUUUGGAGGGACCAAGUAUGAUAAAGUAAUGAAACUAACAGGAAGAUGUGGAAGCUGAAAUGAGGAGGCUAAAGCUGGAGCUCAAGCAGACAAUGGAUAUGUACAGUACAGCCUGCAAAGAAGCACUCUCAGCGAAACAGAAGGUACAUGAAAUACCAUUUGCUUUCUUUUCCUUCAUACCAGUGCAGGAAGUUCUGAGGAGAUCUUUCAUUACAGGCGAGGGAGCUUCAGCGCUGGAAACUAGAAGAAGAACAGAGGUUAGAAGAGGCGCGACUUGCUGAAGAAGCUGCAUUGGCAAUUGCAGAAAGGGAAAAAGCUAAGUCCAGGGCAGCCAUUGAGCAUGCUGAAGCAGCUCAGAGGAUUGCAGAACUGGAAGCACAAAAGAGAAUCAAUGCAGAAAUGAAAGCAAUUAAAGAAGCAGAAGAGAAGAAAAAGGUCCUGGAUUCCCUGGCACAAACCGAUGUCAGGUACAGGAAGUAUACAAUUGAGGAGAUCGAAUCUGCAACAGAAUUCUUCUCAGAAUCUCGCAAGAUUGGAGAAGGGGGUUAUGGGCCAGUAUACAAGUGUAAUCUGGACCAUACACAAGUUGCAAUUAAGGUUCUUCGACCAGAUGCCGCUCAAGGAAGGUCACAGUUCCAGCAGGAGGUAUGCGAUUUUGGAAACACAUUCAUUUACUUAAUCAAAUUAUCAUUCAUACAUUGGUUUUUUGUACAUGUUUCAGAACUAAAAAGGAAACAAAUUUCAAACUAUGUGACACCACCCUUGAUUCCAAGCUAUGAAUUUGAUUCUGAACAGCAAACUGAGCUUCUUACUAGAACUGUUUCAGAAUUAGCAAGGCUGUAUAUAUGUUUCUUUCUGCUUGCAGGUUGAAGUUCUCAGCUGCAUACGCCAUCCUAACAUGGUUCUCCUCCUGGGAGCCUGCCCAGAGUAUGGAUGCUUGGUCUAUGAGUACAUGGCUAAUGGGAGCUUAGAAGACCGGCUUUUCAGGCGAGGAGACUCUCCACCUCUGUCUUGGCAGCUGAGGUUCCGAAUUGCAGCUGAAAUUGGCACUGGACUGUUGUUCCUCCACCAGACUAAACCAGAGCCACUAGUGCACCGUGACCUAAAACCAGCCAACAUCCUGCUGGACCGCAACUACGUAAGCAAGAUUAGUGACGUUGGGUUGGCCAGGCUGGUUCCCCCAUCUGUAGCUGACAAUGUGACCCAGUAUCGGAUGACAUCAACAGCUGGGACUUUCUGCUAUAUAGAUCCAGAGUAUCAGCAAACAGGCAUGCUGGGCAUAAAAUCUGAUGUCUACUCCCUUGGCAUCAUGCUUCUACAGAUAAUAACAGCCAAGCCACCAAUGGGGUUGACUCACCUUGUUGAAAGAGCUAUUGAAAAAGAUACAUUUGAAGAGAUGCUGGAUCCAGUUGUGCCUGAUUGGCCACUUGAAGAGGCAUUGAGCUUCGCCAAGAUAGCCCUCCAGUGUGCAGAACUAAGGCGGAAAGACAGACCUGAUCUUGGCAAGGCUGUGUUACCAGAACUCAACAGAUUGAGAGAGCUUUCAGAGGAACAUUUGGACCCAACUAUGAUGGGUGGCAGUCAGUACCACUCUACCAACCACAGCCAAGUUUCCUUCCGUCGGGUAAAUUCAUGUACAUUACAACAAACAUCAAUAAAUCAGAUACUACUAACAGUCUACUAACUUCGUAAAAAAUCUGCCAUACUGAUAAGCUUGCAAGGCCUAAGAAAAUUUCAUGUGAAUUUUGCAGGAUGUCGCAAGUGAUCCUCUGCAUGGACAGCGUGGAUACUCUGAAGCUAGCUCCAAGAGCCGAUCAACCUCAUAUUUUUCUGGAAGGUCAGGAAACAGGUUGUGAUAGAGACACAUUUUUUCUGGUCUCCAAGACUCAAAUUCAUUCCCAUCCUGUACAAAGAAUCCAGAGGAGGCGUAGAAGUUCCCAUGCAUGCAUUUGUUGUUUUAUCCUUUUCCUUUUUCAAUAGUUAGGUGACCUUUUUGAACUAUCAUUUCUUUCUUUCCCUGCAGACAAAUAAGAUGAGUAUGCCAGGAAGAAGGCUACCAAAUAGCGUAUAUUUCUAUGUUUACUCGGAAGUAUUACCUUGCCUCUCUCGAUAACCUGAAUGUUUCUUUUCAUGUAAAGAGCUUGCUGUUUGUACAAUGAUCUAUAAGAAUGUAAAAUGUAAUCACCAGAUGGUUGUUGUAGUAUUCAUCAUUUGAAAACAUUACCCUCCUGAACCAAGAGUCCUGAAAGCCAAACUAGUUUUGUUAAGGGCUUCCUAAUUAGCACGAGGCAUUGGAGCUUAAGACUUGAUCAUGGCAUUUAUUGCUUUAUUAGUAGUAAUAAUAACUGACAGGUGAUACAGCCACAUGGAUUACAUAAUUUUAUCAGCAACAACAACACCAUAGAACAGUUAAGAGUAGAAAAUACUGAAUGAUGCCCUAAGGCUUUUUGAGAAAUCCCCUUGCUAUCUUCCCAUUUCCCCCUUUUGGGUAGAACCCCCCAGGAAUGUGCUCAUCCCCAGUGCUAUACACAAUCCUUAGUACUUCUGCUGGAGUCCUCAUGUAAGAGAUGGAAUCAGCAUCUGAUGACAAGACAUUAGUCGUGGUCCGGUUCUCAGCUCCUAGCUCUUUUGGGACUAUGAUGCCUUCAUCUUUGAUACCACACUUUCCUAACCGGUUCCUCAACUCUGAAAUGCGUGCUGUGAAUUCAGCAACUGUAUGCUUGUAUGGAUGUACUUGUUCUUUAGCUCGCUCAUACAAAUACGUCCGAAUAACAGCAUCUUGGCCAGAUUCAACACCUAAUAGUCCUGCCAAGAGCUGGGCAAGGAUACAAAAUCUAAUGAGCAAAGCAGUGAGUGAUGUGUGCCUGCCUACAAGAAAUAUCACAAGGAAGACAAAAAUUGAUUACAGGAUAUAUGUAUGAUCUUACUCUCUUUGAAUAAUAGCCUAUGAGAAGUGGGUUCGUGCCUACGUACGCUACGAGUCCCAUGUAGGGGAGCACAUAACAAGAUAUCAUGUAACUGAGGCUGUCAUGGUAGGGGUCGAAGGGAGGGACAAGGGCAUAUCCAAAUGCUGAAUCAAUCAGUUUUGCAAAGUUACCAGCACUUAAGUCCAUCAGAGGCCUUGGGAACCCACCGACAGUUCUUUUGAGGAUCCUUCAGAUGAUCAAAUCAAACAGAGUCUCAUGAAUGAACACCCACAAACUAAAAACAAGAUUUUAUUAAACAGAAUUGGGAUACAUAUAAAAAAAACCUGAGAUGAGCAACUUCUUCAUAGGCAAACUCUGUGAUAAUGUUGAGUGUAAGGUUAUCAAGUUUAGCUUUCUUAGCUCCAAUGGGAGGAGGGCCCCCCAUCACUAACUGGGGAGCCACCUCAUCCAGGCCAUAUCCCAGUGCACCCCAUAAGAAAUAAUCAGCCUCUAAGUGCUCAAGGUUCUCAGCAAAUUGCAGCAAGUUCACAUCUCCUUCAUCUACCGCAAUUGCAUGAGCGGGGUAUGCGGGCUGGCACACAGGUUCAGAGUCAGCCAUGAAAAUAUUGACGCUGCAAGACACCAUGAAAAUUAACAGAACUAGGGAGGUGGGGAAGGUAACAACCAUUGUGAGUUGUUGAAAAAGAGAGAAGUAGAACCGCAAGCUCAAUACAGAUAAGAGGUAGCUCGAAGUGAGUCUUUGGAAGUUAAGGUGAUUUAUAGUCACUGGCGGAGCCAGCCAAGGCUCACGGCCCCCCUCAAUUUUCCAAAAAAAAAAAGAAAAAAAAGAAAAAAAAAAACCAAAAUGGAAAAUUUGUCCCUCUAAAAAAAAAUAUAAAUUUAAUUUAAAAAUUUUUUAAAAUAAAAAAUAAUGGUGACUAAAUAAUAUUACCAAAAACAUAAUAUUUACCAUUAAUUACUAAUAAUAUAUUAAGAUUAAACCAAAAUAAAUAAAAAAUCUUAUUUAAUAUUAUUCAUACUUAUUUUUCCUUUUUAUACUUAUUUUUUAUGGUUGGUUUAACUAAAUCAUAAAAAAAUAAUAUUUAUUUAGUUAUUAUUAACUAUUUAUAUUUUUUUUUGGAAGUAAGAUUUUUUUUUAAAUUAUUAUUAUAAUUGAGGAACCUUUUAUGACCAAGUCUUUAGGAUUAUCCAUGGAAACCCAUGCCUCGAAGGUGGUCCAUAAACUUCAAGGUAAACCAUCCCAUAAUAACCAAUACUAAGUAAAUUUAAGAUAUAAUAAGUACUAAGACCAUACUUUCUAGUAUUUACCUAUAUUAACAGGGCUACCGUGAUAGUGGAUUACUUGGAAGUAAGAAUAUAAUAUAAAUUCAUCAAAAUCUAACCAUUAAACUACUAGUAUUUUAGUGAUUUAUUAUAUGAAAAAAAAAAACUUCACUUUCAACUAUCUCAUAUUUAGUUAUUUAAAAAAGGGAAAAAAAAUCAAGGUAUUGAUUUGGUAUCAAUGGAAAUCCUAAUCUCCACUUUUGAAAGUAUAUAAAAAAAUCUAGGUUUUUGAACGUAAGUAUAAAAAAUGAGUUAAGGUAUAAAUAAAUGAGAUCAAAUUGUAAAACAAUGAGACUUAAAAGGGGAACACCUCUUUCAUUUAAAACAUAUCUAUAACAUAAAUUAUUGAAUUCUUUAAAAUAUUUUUAAAGGGUUUUGCUACGAAAUGAUUAAAUAUAUUGAAAUUUUCUAAUGACUUUUCUUUCUAUUUUUAAUUCCUUCGAAAAUUUCCUUUAAAUAUUCUUGAUAAUUUUUUUAUAUAUAUAAAAUCUAAAACUCUUUUUUAAGUGUUCUUAAUUCUAAGGUUGUUUAAUUCGAUACAUUUUCAUAAUUAAUAUUUAAAAUUAUUUAAUUUGUUAAUAAUAAUAUAAAAUAUCAUUAAUUACCUUAAUGAUAACUAUGAUAUAAUAUUUUCCUUGGAUCCUCCCUUAGCAAAAGUCUUUGGCUAAGUUGUUCAACUUUUAAACACUCAACUAUCAGCAUCAAGACUUUGGCUCUGCUGUUGUUGAAUCGCUAUCAACAACGUCUACAUGCCUUAAAACACUUGACUACUAACCAAACCUUGGGCCCAUCAGAUAUAUAGAAAGCUGGUAGUUUCCUCAGUUGACCCACCCAACUUUCCCACAUGCGGCAAAGUUGGGUAGGUAAACUGAGGCAUGAGGGAAAGUUGGGUGGGCUUGAGGCCACCCGCUUUCUAUAUUCAAGGGUUUUACUAGCACCCUUUUCCAUAACUUUUUGAACAAGUUAUGGGUGAUGUUAAUCCUUUCAACUAAUUUUUCAGAAGAAAAUGCUCUUAGGCCUUGUUUCACAUUAAAUUUCCAUAAUGGGUUUGGGUGUGAUUAGGAGUAGAACACAAAUGUAAUUAUAUGUAUUAACAGAGGACCUCAAUCUAUAUUAAAUCAGAGCUUAAAUCUCAUUAGAUGCGCGUUUGAUGUGAAAUAUUACAUAACGUGAAAUACAAUACCCAAAAUUCUGUAACUGAAAACAGGCUCGUUUUGUUUAGAAAACCCAUAUUGAAGAAAUAGAGACAAACGAAGGGGAAACAUUACAGAGGUCACCAAAAAGAAAGCAUUUCUGCUCACAUCUUUCAUGGCCCCAUUGUUAAUGGUAAUACAUCAGCUGCUGGCCUGAUGAAUUAUUGGGAUAUCCAUCAUACAUAGCUUGGGUGCCACCAGAGCUCACACCCAUGGAACCUGCAGCUAGACCAUGAUGUCCAGUCAUCUGCAUAAGAGCUUGGCCCGAGAGGCUGGAUGCAGCAGCUUGGCUUAAGGCAAGCUGGCGCUGAUAGGCCAACAACUCUGCUGGUGAGUAGCCUUGGUUAAUGCCAGCAGUAGGAAGGAUCUGAUAUGGUUGAGCUGGAGGAGGUAGGGGAUUAGAAGCUGUACCGAGAGGCGUUGGCUUGCUACCCCAUGAGCACUGCAUGCAUGCACAAAAUGAAGAAUGAGUUCUUCAAAUGGGAUCCACAACAGUUUUCUUUUCAAUGAAUGUUCUUUUCUAAUGGAAAAUAUGUCACAUUUAUAAUCUAUAUGACCAAGGAUGAAGAUCUAUUAUAUUCAUAAUAUAAUUGAUCUCUGGGAGUGUCUUGCUUCGGCAUCACCAAGGAUGAACCACAUUGUUAAGAACUGGUCAAAUAAUAGCAAGAACCAUUUUUAUUUUCAACUGCUCAGAUAAGCUCAUCAAUACAUUUGAGUUUACAACUUGUAGAUAGACAAGAUGUGCAUUGAAUCUGAGAUUCUCAUGUUUCUCAUGGAUGCCAAAUGUCAAGUUGAUGAGAUCUAAACCUAUUCUAUCCACAUAGCAUUGCAAACUAGAGCUUUAUUGUAAUUUUUUUCUUUAAAAGGAAAUGAUAUUUUAAUGAAAAGACUACCUAUAUCCAAUCAAUUUGGUAUUUAGCAUCCAAGAUACAGGUAGACUGGUAAAAUAUGAGUUGCAAUAAAUGUUCUUUGAGAAGAGGAAAUUAUGAAUGGGAUAUUGAUUGGAGAUUGAAACCUGUCCUCUGUGUAGCACCUAUCCUAUCCAUAUAGCACUGGGAACUAGAGCUAGAGUUUUGUCCCAUUUUUUCUCAUGAAAAGAAUGGCCAUUUUUAUGAAUCAACUACCUAUAUCCAGUCAAUUUGAUAUUUAGCCUCCAAGACAAUAGUGGACAAUGGCGGAUUGGCGAAGUAGUAGUGGCACAAACCCUUCUUUGAGAACGGAACUUAUUAACAGUGUGAAACAGCAAUUCUCACACCAUGUGUGUGAGAUAUUCAGGCAAAGAGGAGUUGGAGUGGAGCUUCUCUAUGAGUUUCAUAAAACGUUAUUUGACAGGUAAAAUAGAUUGGUCAGGUGAAAAUAAAUAAAUAAAAGAAUUCUCACACCAUCGUUGUGUGUGAAUAUUGAGCAAGGUAAAAAAGAAAAAGGAAUCCUGACACCACUUACGUGUAUUAGUAAUUCAGACAGUAGUUGAAGAAGAAGAAUUGAUGGGACGAAGAGGCAAACAAAAAAAAAAUCUUUCACCAUCUGUGUGCGUGUGUGAACAUUUGGCAGAAGAAGAAGAAUUGAUGGCGAGAAAAGCAAAUAAAAAAGAGUAUCUUCCACCAUUUGUGUUUGUGUGUGUGAACAUUCAGUGGAAGAAGAAGAAUAGAUGAGAGGGAAAAAGGAAAAAGAAAAAGAAAUUCUCAUACCAUUUAUGUGAGUGAUUAUUCAGCAAGAAGAAGGUACCCCAACACAUUUAUAAAGGCAAUACAUAACAACAAAUAAAAAGACUACACAGUCCAACAGGAAGCAAUUGAACAAAAAAAACUAGCAGAAUUUUUCUUACCUUCAUGGAUUUUCCACGAACUAUCCUUCCAUUCGCCAUCUGAAUGGCCAAGGCUGCUUCUUCAUGGGUGUGGUACCUGACAAACCCAAAACCUUUAUCCCUCUGGAUGCGCACUUCCUCAAUAACCCCAGCUCCAAGAGCAUGAAACUGACAGUGAAGUUCAGCUUGAGUUACCUGAGCACAGAGAUCAAAAGUUAAGGAAAAUAUAGACCUAACAACAGAUAGGAAUCCUGAAAAUAUGAUGAUUUCUGUGAGAAACUAUAGCCACCAGUUUGGAAAACAGAAGCAGCAAAAGAUAUGGGAAGGAAAAUAAGGAAAUAUGAAAAACAUGGUAACCUAAGAUAAUUUAAAGCUGCCAGAGAAAACAAGCGGAAAAGUACGUUAGAAUGAAGAACUUCACAAAGAAGACAUUCAGGUAACAAUUUUUGAGAAGCUUGUAUUAGAUGUUGUAUAUCCUUCCCUAAAUUUAGCUUAUUCUAACCAUGUUAGCCUCAAAAUUUCCCCCAUGAGAUGCUACAAAGGAAGUUUACAAUAGGAAAGCUUGCAAAGAAAUUUAACUACAUAAUUCAAGAACAUGAGAAACUCAAUUCUGAAAAGUUAAAAAAUAUUUCCAGUAGGAAUAUGCCACCUCUUUAGCAUCUCAAAAAGUAUUUGAGAGCCUUCCAAAAUAAUAGAAACAGGUUCACUAUAAUUUUAAAUAAAUGUCUAACUGGAUUAGGAAAUGGAAUCUAAGAAGCAAAGUUCAUAUGUAUAGAAAGAGCACAGGUUGACUAAGCAAAACAAUACCAGAUUAAAAUCUUUUGAUUCCUUUAUUCUUCAUUCUUCUAAUUACCUCAUGAGAAAGGUUGCCAACAUAGACAGUAGUGUAUGCUGGAUUAUUUUCAGGGGCCUCCUCAUUUGUAUUCUCUUGACUUCCAUCUGUGAAAUACAGAAAAAACAGGAAAAAGCAAUCAGCACCCAAAACUUCCUGGCCAGUGUUGUGCAUGGCAUAACUUUUAGUUGGUGCAGACACUUUGGACCACAACUGGUGAAGACAAAAAAAGAAAGAGGUGAGACAGAGGUAGUGAGAGAGAGGGGUGCAGAGAUCAAAGCCUGACUUCCUUCUAAUUGGCCCUUUCCUACCUAAGUCCAUCCUUUGGGAAGAAGCCAGGCCACCUCAUUUUGGGACCUCGUGCUUGAUAGGAUCUCCAGAAGCUUGGAUGGUUCAAGGAAAGACUUUCUAUCCCUUGAAGUAGAAUCACCCUAAUCCAAUAUUGUUCAGCCAGUAUCUCCACUUAUUACCUGCUGGUAUUCAAAACCCCAAUGGUAGCUGCUUUUACGAUUUGAGAGGAAUCAACAAGAUUUUCUUUCCUCAGAUGUUAGAAAAGGGAGCAGAGAUCAUACUAUAAAUUGGAAUCAAUUUUGCAAGCCAACACAAAUGAGAGCCUGAAAAGUGCUCAGGGCUUGAGGGGGCUUUCAGUAGGAAUAGAGCAUUCUUUGGUAAGUGGCUUUGGAGAUCUCCUAUAGAGAAUGGCUUGGUGUGGCAUUGUGUUAUUACUACAAGUAUCUAUGGGGUGCGUACAAAUGGAUGAGAUGCAAACACAAUAUAUAGGUGGUUACAUCCUAGAAAGCCAUCUCCAAAGGCUUUUAAGAUUUUUUUUUUUCAUCAAUUUGUUGAUUUCUUGGUGAGAGAGAGUUUGAGAAUUCAUUUUCAGGAGGAUCCUUGGUAGGCUAGUUAACCUCUUUGUAUUCUCUAUUCUGAUCUUCAUCACAUUUUGAGGGGGAGAAAUCUUCUUAUAUCUCAUUUUUUUAGAUUACUUGCAGCAUUUCCUUUCCUGCAACAUUGACUUCCGGAGUAAUUUACCACAUCAGGAAAUUGAUGGGUUAUCUUCAUUGUUUUUUUUUUUUUUUUGAUAAAUAAGUGUGUGUGUAUUAAAAACAGGAAACGCCAAAACAGCGUCUCAAAGAUACAGUAAGUAUAUACCGACCUCCAAUAGGCUCACCUAAAAGGGAGAGGGAGAGAAACAAAAAACAUCACCUGCCCUCACUUAGAACCAAGCCAAUUAAUAAAGCUAACAAGGGAAAUAGGGUCUAUAUCUACAUGCACCCUAGAGCUAGACCACAAAUUAUAAACAAAAGAAUUUUCCAUCUUUUGAACCAACAAUUCCACAUUAUCAACCGCUAUCAUAUUCAUUUCCUUCUAAACUGUCCAAAAAAUACAUAAUGGGGCCGUCAUCCAAGACUUUUUACUUACCCACAAAAGGCCCAUACCACCCAAGAAGCGCCUCCUUAACCGAAGAGGAGAGGACCUAGGAAACACCAAAAAGAGAAAAAAGCAGCUGCCAAGGAACCCCACGUCUUUGCACAAUGAAGAAGAAUGUGAUCAACAGUUUUUUCUUCAACGUGGCAAAGGAAACAUCUAUUUGCCAAAGAGAACACCCUCCUCUUGACUUGAUCCAAAGUAAGGGCUUCCCCCCAAGUUGCUUCCCACAUGAAAAAAGCCACUUUAGGUGGUGCACAAGAUCUCCAAAUGAUACUCCGUGGGAACAAAGUAGGAUCUCCAAGCUCCAAAAUAGAGUAUAGGGAUUUAACCGAAAAUUCCCCACAUCUCGAAGGUGUUCAAAGCAUCCUAUCUUCCUCAUUCCUAUGAACCCUCUUUGCUUGAAUCUUCAACAAAAAGCAUUCCACUCUUUCCACCUCUCAAUCGUUCAACAGCCAAGAGAAACAAGGAGCCCACCCAUCCCUUUCACCUUCGAAGUUCCAAACAUCCGCCACCCACGCAUCCUUAAAAGUGGCUAAGCCAAAUAAGGAAAGGAAAGGAAAGUAACACAAAGUGGCUCAUAUCCACAGCACUUGGCCUUUCAGAAUUUUUCUCUCUAACCAUUUCCCACAGAAAUGGAUAUUCUGCUACUCAAAAGAUCCCACUCCUUUCUUAUGAUUUUCCAAAGGCCAACACCAUACCUAUCACCCACCUCCUAGGAACACCAAUCCCAUCAUCCUCACCGAAAUUUUGGAUAAUGACUUGCUUCCAAAGAGCCCCACUUUCAUUGGCAAAGUGCCAGCUCCACUUGCAAAGAAGAGCUUUGUUCAUCGCUAAAAGACACCUCACACCCAAGCCCCCUUUCCUUCUCUCUGAGCAGACUGAUUUCCAUCCAACUAAAUGGAGUUUCUGCACAAGAGCCCCACCACCCCAAAGAAAAUCCCUCUGAAUUUUCUCCAGUCUCAAUCUAACCUACCUUGGCAUGGGUCACCUUCAUUGUUGCUCACUUUUUUUAACUUGUUUACUUCUCUCCAGCAUUUUCCCAAUUAAAGAACUUUACUUUGGUUCCUUCAGAUUCUCAGUCCUUCCAUGAUCUUUCAAACAAUGAUUCUCCAAUUGCCUUUUGGCAAUCUAAUUCCAUUUGGAAGUCUGAAGUUCCUCCUAAAACCAAGCUUGAGUGUGGUUAGUGGUUGAUUUACGAAUGACUUAUCAUAGAUCAAGAGGCCCAUAUGACAACAAUAUAUCAUAUCGGUUAACUACAUCAUGUAUUUUUUUUUUCUUUCUUUUUUGAUUUAUCAAUACAUUAAAAAUAUUUCUUCAUAUUAUCCUAGGCUUCAUUGAUUUGUCUUAUGAAGUGUUCAAGGCUUAUUGGCAAAAGAAAACAAGAUGUGCAUUUUUGCAUGUUUAUUUGCAAUGCAAACAGACAAACUAGGUCCAAAAUGCUUCAGUAUGAAUAUCCUGGGUCCACCAUGUUUCACACUCAAUAUAAGGGCUGUGUAUAGUAAAAUAUACAUAUAAAGCUUGCGUAUCAAAAAAAAAAAAAAAAAGUAAAAAUGAAAAUAUUCAAAAAAAUAAAAAGAUUUUCUAGAGCACCACACCUGAAACAACUUGGCCCUUUUGAAAUAUGUUAGUCAACCAAGCUACCUACUAACUAGGCCCACCAUCUACAUCACCUAGGCAUUUUGACAACAUGGCCAACUAGUCAAUUUUCUGAGCAUACUCAUCAAUUGUUUUUCUGUAAAAUCCAAACGCAAUUGAAUAAUGCCUCUACUUUUUCAAAUUGACUGGACUUAGUCCACAUGGUAUCUGUGGUUCUAUAAACAUGCAGAUAUCUCCAUGUAAGUGGAAACCUAAACCUGGGGUAACAAAAGAAUAGCAGCAACCUACGUUCAAUUCCCUUGCCAUCCUACAUGAUUUGUGGUCUGAUGAGUAGAAGAGAUUUACAAUACCUGAAGAUCCAUUAGUAAGUACAACUGCGUUUUGAUUUUCAUUAACCUGCUUGUCCUCAUUAAAGCCAGCACCUUUAGUUGCCCAGUUGCAUCUUAUUUGCCUAUUCCCAAGCCAUUUACCUACAAGAUGGGUGUGAAACCAAUCAGACGUUCCACAGAGAUAGCUCCCAAACCACUCAAGACAGAUAAAACUGAAUGGAGAUCAACAAGUUGUUAGAUGCCCAACCACUCAAGUCAUUGAUGGCACUCUGUGCAUCCUGCAAAACAAUCAAAUAAAGCACUUAAUAAGAUUUCUGGUUCUUCUCAUCCUGAAGAUACUCUAGACAGACUUGGAUUUGGUUCUGAUCUACUAAAGGCAAAAAUUAUUGUUUCUUAACCACAAUAAAAAUGAAAAUCGAAAAAAAAAAAAUUGAAGAAUUUUUUUUUUUUGUGAUUCCAUGUUCUCCAAUCAACCAAACAGAGCAAAAUAUUUAGAAAAGGACUUCAAUGAUGAAGUUUGAAUUUCUGAGAAGGAUUAGGUUUAAAAUUGGAAAUAUUCUAAACUUCAACUAUGUAAGCAAUACCUGCUGAUUACGGAAAGAAACAAAGCCAUAUCCUUUUGACCGUCCAGUUUUGUGAUCCCACAUGACCCUUGCAUCUCUGGAAAUGUUUUUAAAAAAUGAACUUAAAUAAAUAAAAUAUGAAUAAACAAACAGCAUAAGUAUCACACCAAAAAAGAGUUCCAUACUGAUACUCGAUGCAGGGAAGGGGACAAGAAAUGGAGCAAUUUAAUGUACAAGUUUAUAAAUCCACUCCUGUAUCAGUAUUGAUAUUGGCUGUUUUGUUUAUUUAUUUAUUUUUAUUAGAAACAACAAAUUCAUUGAAAUGAACUAAAGUACAAUGAAGGAUGAGAAAUCCUUCCAAAUUUACAUGACCUGAUCAAAACAAAAAGGAUAAUAUAACAGAUCCUAACCAUGACCUGACUGUCUAGACACUUUUUUGUACAAGUUGUUUGUAAAAGUUGGCCCACAUUUUUUAAACUGAAAAUAUUGUAAAUCAAUCCACAAAAAAAAAUGAGUGCAAACACACACACACACACAGAGUGACACAAAAGGAAGGAUUUUGAUGGAUCAAAACGUUGUUAAGGAGUAAUAAAAACUAAAUUUUUCUCUGAAAUAGAGAAGCAAUUAGUAAACCAAGACAACAAUAACAUGAACAUUGACUACAGUCACAACUCAAGAGGAGAUAUAUGACAUGGUACCUCUAUCCUAGUAAGGAUUCGCUCCAAAUAUGGAUUACCAGGAAACCUCAAGAGAUACAAGAAACUUACGAACAACUAGCAAAAACUGAGAAGCAGGCAUAUAAAGUUGCGUCAGUAACCUCUGGGCUCAAAUCACCAACAAAUAUAUUAAAGUGCCCUGAUUAUCAUAAGAUCAUUAAUGACCCAUUAGAAUAUUAGAAGAAAAUGCAGCUCAGAAGCAACAAAAUUAGCAGGAAGCAGAAGAGCUAUGAAAGCUCAGAGUAACCUGACGUGUCUUCCCUCUGGCCACUGGCAUAUGCCCAAUUCACCUUAAGUGCUUGACCAUAACUGCAAAUUGAAUAAAUCAAAAACCAUAAAAAACCACUACUUUAAGGCAGAGGCCUGAAGAUCCUGAUUGAAUUAUCAAAAACCACAUAAGAGCUAUCCGUCUUAAUCUUGAUCUUGAUAAAGUUAAUAAAUUUCCCAAAGACUGAGGAAUUGAAAAAGAUGGAUAAUUCUAGACACCAAUUUUAAUUUAGGAUGUUACUAGCAAAACUGUGAUGCAUCUUUUAGAAUGAAGUAUUACAAAAAAAAUGCACACAUGGCAAAGUGAAAAUAGUCAUAUCACAUGCCCAAAAAAAGACCACAGAAUAGCCAAGCUUGAUGCAAGAUAGAUGAAUACUUACACUUGACGUCCAUGCAAUGUCAUUAUUGCAAGACUAGCAGAUGCUCGAUCAAGGUAGUCCACAAAACCAUAUGACGACUGCAAAAAUAAUGGAAUAAUCUAAGCAUCAAAACCAAGCAAAUUAAAGAAAUAGCUAGCAAAAGCUUUGGUUGACUGGAAAUGAAUAAGGUAAGCAUAAAAAUUACAGUACACAAAAGUUUUCAUGUUAUCAAUAAUGAAUAUAGACACUAAAAGGCUCCUCAAGUUUCUGGUAUGAUUGGGAGGUCACGUCGGGUUUUCUUUUCCCUAUUUUGGUGUAAUAGGUUGACUUGGUUGAAGAGCAACCAAGACAUUGCUCAUAAUCCAGUUUUAACAUGACAAAUUGAAAAAUAUUAGGUGGACCAUCAUUUUAUCAGGGAGAGCCAAAAAAUGAUGUCCCAACCACUAGGGGCAGACAAGUAAAAUUUUUCAAGUUAUUCUAGGCAAGUUUAAGUUUUUGUUUUUUUUUUUUUUUUUUUUCUUUGAUAGGUAAACAGGAAAAUAUAUUAAAGGCACUUGCAAAAUGGCACAAUAAAGUACACACAAAGUAUACAAUUAGGCCAAGGAAAAGAAAAGGAAAACCAAACACCCACAACCCUAACAGAAAUCCACCCCCAGAAGAGCCAGAUAGACCCUAGCAGGAGAACCCACAAUAGAAAAAGACCCCCUAACAAACAACAACAUAAAAUGCCCCAGGCACAAAAGCCGCUCUUGAGCCCAUCUACAACUUGCAUCCCUUAAUCCCCAUUUCUCCACUCCUUUCCCGUUACAAUGAGCGGAUAAUUCUUAUAAUUGACCGUGCUCUCUAAUUUUCAUAUCUCCCUCUCAAACCAGGAUGAAGGAGGUUUCCUCUUAUCCCCUAGAUUCUUAACUCCACGACUUUUUCUUGCUUCCAAAUUCUUGAGAAGAGAAAUGAUCUCCCUUUCAAAACCCACCACAAGCAUCCCUACGAAGUUACCAAGCUUGACAAACUCGCUUGGAAGACUACCACGAUCUUCUCCCUCCAUAACACAUCUGGAGUCCAUGUCCAAAGGGGAAACCAUUUCCUCAUCUCUACCACCAACUCCUUCCUUGAGGCCCCUUCACAACACUCUUCAAAAGCUCCAGUAAGCUGCCAUCAUGAAGCAUCAGCCUAAGAGGCCAACAACUACGGCUUAGAGGUCUUUAAGGGCUGAGAAUAGCCUUUUAUUUCCAGCCAAAGAGAUUUGGGGUUUGUAUGCCCCUCUUAGAACUCUUUUUUUUUUUGCUUGGGAAGCAGUUUGGGGAAAAAUUUUAACAGUAGACAUAUUAAUGAAGAGGGGUUGGUCCAUGAUUAACAGGUGCAACCUUUGUAAAGACAAUGAGGAAUCGGCGGGCCACAUUCUGAUUCAUUGUGGCAGGACAAGGGAGUUAUGGACUUUGCUACUAUCUUCUUUUGGACUGGUGUGGGUGUUCCCAGCCUCAAAGAGAAAUCUGCUUCUGUAAUGGAAAGUUAAGGGGCUAGGGAAGAAGAGGAGAGCAGUUUGGAGAUUGGCGCCUAUUUGUCCUUUUUGGUGUAUCUGGGGAGAGCAAAAUCGAAGAACAUUCUAAGAAGAAGAGAUGUCAGACCCUGCUUGAGGAACCUCUUUUUUUAGACUCUUCUAGAGUGGUCUCAACAGUUUUUGGAUUUAGACUCUCCCUAUUUUCUGAAUUUUUGGGUGAUUGGCAUGAUGGCUAGCUUUUUACCUCUCUAGUUUUUUUCUUUCUUUUUGCAGUCUUGUUUUUGGCUUUCUUUGUACACUGCCUAUAUACGUAGGGUGUGCCCCCUAUUUUGGCGUUUUAUCAAUUCAAUUUGUCUUCAUCUACCAAAAAAAAUAAAAAUGGUAGAGGAAGCGGAUGCCUAAUCGCCUCCGCCACAAGUGCUUCAUCGGUGAUCGCAAUGCGAGAGCUCACCAUCACUGACCCUAGAAAGAACUCUCACCUCUCAACCCCGACUCCUUUGCAACUCCCUCGACCAUACGCUAAAGACCUAGCGAGAACCCCACUCCCUUUGUGAAGCCCUAACAAGUCCUUUGCUUUCUCAAAAUUAACCUUAAAUGUUGGCCCUCCCUUCUUAUUGACUUUCCUUGGGCUUGGCCCAAACUUAAAUCACGCCCCACUUCAAGAGUUAUAGCCAAGGGGGCCUCAUCAACACACAAAAAUCUCGAGCCUGGCCUAAAGCCUCCACAUUGAAACCUGAAACCAUAAGAGCCUUAGAACUACUAGGUUCCUGGUCCUUAGAAGAAAACAGCCCUCCAAUGACAUGGACCUCACCCAAUACCUGGCAGCCCAAGGCCUAGGUUUCAAACUUAGCCCAAACGUCCUCAACUUGAAGGUUGGACUUGUCCAAACAAACCCUUCCAUCACCAGUUGUACUCCUCAUGCUUCUACCUUGGGAACCCAACCCCCUACCAAUAGUUGCACCAUAGCAGUUUGCAACCUCAAUUACCAUAUCUCUCCUGUUAAAGAACAACACCUCAACGCUUGCAAACUGCAAGGGCUGCACACCAAUUCCUAUCCCUUUGUCGGCACGAGUAGAACCCUCCACAUCUCUUGCAACGAACUAGACAAGACACUCCCAUCAAAUUUUACCAAGAUCCUUAACCUAUUGUAAAUUAGACAAAAGAGCUAUAUCUUCAACCACAACAACAAAACCACUAUAACAAUCUCCUAAUUUCUUAUACACCCCUCCGACUUCACAAAUGAAAAAGGAGACCCAAAACCCUUACCCACACUUCCUUAGCAAACCCCCCUAGUCACAAACAACCAACCUCGGGUGUCCAUUUUACCAUAUGCAAAACUCUCUCUCUAAGCCUUCUUGAACCUCUUGCAACCAUCUUUGCCUCAGAGCUAACAUCAAAAUCAAAUAAAAGCAAAGCUCCCCCAAAGCCCCCCCUCCCCCCUCUUUUGCAAAAACCACAAAUUAGUCCCUAGUUUUUCCAUCAAAGUUAACCCUAGUAACAGGUCUAAGACCUUUCCAAACCACCUGACCAAGCAUCGACUUAAAUGCUCCUCCCUAAUUUGCACGUCGCUCUCCCUAGGCUGAAGCCAAACUGCUUCUCCUAUCACACCCAAAUCUUUCUUGACCAGAUUUGCAACAGUCCCAUCUUCUGUCAACUCCUUUGAUGUACUCCUUACCUUUGCAGGGUAGACCAUUUUCCUAACUUCCAUUGAGGAGACGACUCCUAGAUGAUGAAGCUUCUCCGCCAAUACCCCUUGUAGACCCUUCCCUUAGGGAAAGAUCAACAAAAAUCUCUUCAUCACUUCAGCCACAACAAAGCAAAAUAAAAGCCUCCCUGACUUAUUCGAACAUCAUUCCAACUUGAACUUCCUCCCACCCUCCUCCCGUCCUUUGCUCCACCUCACCAAAUCUUCAUCUCUAUAGCAAGCUUCCACCCCUUCCAACAAGCAAUGUAAGCUCAGAUCCCCAUACCUAAUCCAGGCAGAAAAGCCUCAGCCUCUUUCCUUAAUAACACCUCUCAGCUUUUCCCCUACCACCUCUACAGAAAGAUCAAAAGACUUAAGAGUCCAUUGCGAACCAGCACCUCCCUCCUCUCACAGCCAUGAGAACACUACAUGGCUAAUUGGCCCUUGGAUGAUUACAUUCUUUCUUUAUGUUAAAUUCAUUUGGAUGACUAAACUCUUCUUUUUGUUUAUUCUAUGCAAGUUGAGCAUGUCAGAUAUCUAUGAACCACCUGUUAGAAUCAGCCCUAGAAAGUAAGACUUUUGAAACAAAUAAAUGUUAUUAACUAUAUCAAUAUAAUUUAUUUUUGAAAAUUUUUUAUGAAUGUUGAAUUUAUUUGAGCAUUGUCUUUAUAAGCAUUCUACCUAAUCAAUUACAUUGAACUUGGUUUGGGUAUAUGAGGGUAUAUAAAAGACACAAACCAUAGGAUUCUUGUAACUCGAUAAGCUGUUCACGAUAAUUUAGACGAUUCAAUAAAGGUCGUAGUGCAUCACCUACCAUAUAGUGUAAUGACUUAUCUUGGUGAUUAGAAUUUAUUAAUAAUUAUUAUUCAAUACAAUCAUUUUUUAUGAGUAAAUAUUCAAUGCAUUCAUAAAUCAUUGUAUUUUGAAAAUCAUACCUUGAUUUGAAGAAAAAGACUUGCUUUGGUUAGAUGCUUUAAUCACCAAGGAUAUUCCUCCUUAAUGAUAUUAAUAAUACAUGUUCAUACACUCUAAAUCCAACACUCUCAUAGGGGAAGUAUCGGAUGAAUACGGUGUUUAUGAUUAAUAUCAUCUUCCUAUUUAUCUAUGAAGUAACUUGUACUUCUGCCAACACAAAUGACUAAUUUAAUAAUAAUGAGAGAGAGAAACAAACUCUAAUCUGUCUAAUCUUUUACUCUUUCCUUUUUCUUCUCUAUUUGUUCUUACUAUCUCCUAGUCUAUCAACUCAAGGGGCUAGAGAAGCAUUAGCACACAAAAAAAUAUGUCAAGCUCACCCCAGAAGAAUAAUAAAUUGCAAGAAAAAGAUAAUAAUAAAGGAGAACAAACCAUCUCCAACCACAUUGAGCUCUAGAAACAUGAAUGUGCAUAAAUGGGCAACAUACUAAGCAAAACGGUGUGCAUUAUUCUUCUUCAAUCGAUUCUUGCCAGAAAGAGAUCCAGGGUUUGAUAAGGUGAUUUUGGAAUUUCAAAGGGAGGUUGAUCUAAAUGCAGUUCUAAUAGCUAAUAAAUCUAUAAACUCUAAACUUCUGAGCUCAAGUGUAACUUGGAUAUAAAAAAAAUAAAAAAUAAAUAAAAAAUCUUAUAAUCAUCUAAAUAGAGAAUUUUUGUUAUAAGUUAUGGACAAGAUGAGAUUUGGUUAGAGGUAGUUCAAUUGGAUAAAAUUCUAUAUUUCCACAAUUAGAUUAUCUAUGAUGAUUAAUGGAAUGCUGAUAGGACUUCUUGAAAAUUCAAGAGGAAACAAGAAGAACCAUUCUCUCCCUAUCUUAUAGGUUGGUGAUAGUGGCCUUGAGUUGCUUUGUAGCUUCAAGAAAUGGAGGGGGUAUUUUAUUUCUAGGAUUCAGGUCGGGGGUUUAGAGAUUUCAUAUGUGGUAUUUAUUGAUUACACCCUCUUAUUUUGUGAGCCAAACAAUAACGACUCAUUGUAUAUUGGGUGGAUCCUCCUUUGUUUUGAGGCUGUUUUUAAAUUGAAAAUUAAGAUGGAGUAAAGUAAGCUAAUCUUAGUUGGAGAAGUAGAGGAUCUAGAAGGUCUAGUGUCUAUCCUUGGUACUAGGGCAGGUAAGCCACCACCAAAUUUUCUAGGAUUGCCUUUAAACACCCUCUUUCAGGUCAAAGUAGAUUAGCACUCUGUUUAGAUAUGGUGCAAGAGGAGGCUUACCUCUUGGAAAAUGUAAUAAUUUUUUAAGGGAGGCAAAGUCAUGCAUUCAAAGAGCACUCUAUCCAAAUUGAAAAUCUAUUUUAUAUCAUCCUUGGGAUGUCAAGUUUGUAACACGUUUGAAAAGAUUUAGUGAGCUUAGUUGUAGUGGAAUGGGGGUUCAAAAAGGAAAAAUUAAUUUAGUUAAUUAAGCAAUUGGUGUUCCGAAAAGAUAAAUGUGGUUUGGAUAUGAGAAGAAUGUUCAUGUAUGAUGUAACCUAUGGUCUUGGGUUAGGGUGUCUAUAGAUUUGAGCCCUUUUUCGCUUGUAAGCUUCAUUGAUUGGUUAGGCUCUAAGUAAGGGCAGGUGAUGUUUUUUGUUUCUAUCCCUCCCUCUCUGGUUUAAGACUUUUGGCUUCUUUUGAAUACUUCCUAUAUACUCUUGAGGGCACUGUUUUUGGUGUCCCCUCUUUUCUUUAUAUACAACUUUUCCUUAUCUAUCAAAAAAUAUAUAUAUAUAAGAGAAGAAUGUUCAUUCUAAGCAAGACCUCACUGGUGAUGGGUGUAUAUAUGUGUAGUUGAUUGUGUUAAUUUGUAGAAGAGGGUCACUAUAGGAAAGUUUGUGGAGAAAGUUGGUUGUUGGUGGUUGACGGUUAGUGUUCCAAGGCUGGCAAAGAGGCAUUUGAGACAGGUUUGUAGAAAGCUAUCAGAAGAGGUUACAAUGACUUCCAAUCUCAUAAUUGCAUCUUGGUAGCCAGUAAGUAAUGAGAUUAAACAAAGUUCUAGUUUGGUGUUUGAUGUAGCUCCAUGAAUCCUAUUUCCAUUUCAGCUCUAUCUAGAGCCAUUAGCCAUAUCCGCUAUAAUGAAAUAAACUUUUAAAAGAUGUUAAGGAAUGAACAAACAUUAGUACUACAAUAAAGUGCAUUAAUAAACUAAAGAUCAAGUGAUGUGAUAACCAAGCCAACAAUACUAUACAAAAAAAGCAAAGCUGAUUACUGUAUCAAACCUUAUCCUUUCUAAUGAGUUUGCAUCCAGCAAGAGGACCAGCACUUUGGAAAACUUCUGCAAGAAGUUUCUCAGUGACAUUUACAUGAAUAUUACCUACAUAACUGAAAUAAUCAUGCUAUAAGAUUAGCACACAUGUAAACAAAAAAUGAAACACAUCUUCAAGAUAACGCACAUGAUACCAUUUCACACUUCCAACCAUGCAUGUUAUUUUGGUGACUUGAUGGCCAAGAUGAUGAAAAAAAGAAGUUAAUACUUGCGUCAGUAAAAGAAUAAAAUAAAAAUCAAUCGUGUUCCAGUAACAAAUUUCCAAACUGAAAGUCUUCUCAAGUGAAAAAUGCAUGCAACUACCAGUUCACAACACAUAACUGCCAAAAUUAAAUUAAAAAGGAUACGUAUCCCAAAACAUUUUAAAAGAAACGUGGAAAAGGGACCCUUAACACUCACACACUGCGGCAUGACGAUGAAUCAAAGCCAGGAGGCAGGUUGCCGCUUGGAACAGGCUCCAUCUGCAAAAUAUAGAAGCAAAAGGAAAGAAUAAGCAACUAAAGCCUAGCAAAAGUGGGUCUUUCCAGAAACUGUAAAGGAGAUCUUAUUUAGCUGGAGAGGUUCUUUUGUGGGGAAAAAAAGGAAAAAGAUUUGGAAGUCCAUCCCGUUAUGUAUAUUUUGGACGGUUUGAAAAGAAAGGAAUAGAUUAGCCUUUAAGGGGGGUGUGCUACAUAUUCAGAAGCUAAAGAAUUUUUUUGUUUGUAAUUUGUGGGGUUGGUCUAGAUUGGAUAUUGGAGAUGACUCCCUCUCCCUUCUAGGAUUUCUAGAGUGGCUAGCAUCCACUUGGGGGGGUGAGGUCUUCUUGGUCUCUUUUGUUUUUUGUUGAGAGGCUAUAGCUGCCUUGUAUAUCUCCUGUAUGUUGUGUGGCUAUUGGCCUCUUUUUUAAUACAUAUUUGGUUUACGUAUCAAAAAAAAAAAAAAAAA
rnacentral:lncRNA from 1 species